UGAAAUCUGGUGCUCAUGUACG
rnacentral:siRNA from 1 species